GCUCCUGAUUUCAUAAAUUUAGGGUUUCCAAGAAUUCUCAUUUCUCUCUUGCCGACUCUACCUAAAAGACUCUCUCUCUCAUCACUCUCGCUCAUCUUUCUCUUAAUUAGAGGCACAAAUCAUUCAAAAAGCAUACACAAAAAGAAAGAAGGAGAAUGGUGAGGGGAAAGACAGAGAUGAAGCGGAUAGAGAACGCAACGAGCAGGCAGGUGACUUUCUCCAAGAGAAGAAAUGGACUUUUGAAGAAAGCCUUUGAAUUAUCAGUCCUUUGUGAUGCUGAAGUUGCCCUAAUCAUCUUCUCUCCUAGAGGCAAACUCUAUGAGUUCUCUAGCUCCUCCAGGUAUA